rnacentral:lncRNA from 1 species
GCCGGCGGAGCGUCCUCGCAUGGAGCGCGAGCCCAGCGCCUCGGAGGCCGCCCCCGCGGCGGCCGCGCUCUUCGCCUGGCUAUGGGCAACUUGGCCUCGGCCAUAAGGAAGAUGUGCUGUUGCCCCAGCAACUGAAUGACUUCUGUAAACCCAGGAGUGUCAGGAGGAUCACAGGAGGAGGGGGCCACUCUGCAGUUGUCACAGAUGGAGGAGACCUCUUUGUUUGUGGCCUGAACAAAGAUGGGCAACUGGGGCUUGGUCACACAGAGGAUAUCCCAUAUUUUACCCCCUGCAAAUCCCUCUUUGGCUGUCCCAUCCAACAGGUGGCCUGUGGCUGGGAUUUUACGAUUAUGCUCACAGCUCCAUAAAGAGAAGGUUGUUUGUAUUGCUGCUGGACUGAGGCAUGCAGUAGCUGCUACAGCGAGUGGCAUCGUGUUCCAGUGGGGGACUGGUUUGGCAUCAUGUGGACGACGGUUGUGCCCUGGGCAGACUCUUCCAUUGUUUUUCACAGCAAAGGAACCAAGCAGAGUGACAGGUCUAGAGAAUUCUAAAGCAAUGUGUGUUCUUGCUGGCUCAGACCACUCAGCUUCAUUAACAGAUGCAGGAGAGGUGUAUGUUUGGGGAAGCAACAAGCAUGGGCAACUGGCUAAUGAGGCUGCUUUCCUUCCUGUGCCCCAGAAAAUAGAAGCACAUUGUUUCCAGAAUGAAAAGGUCACUGCCAUCUGGAGUGGAUGGACACACCUGGUUGCUCAGACAGAAACUGGCAAGAUGUUUACCUGGGGCCGAGCAGACUAUGGUCAGCUAGGGAGGAAGUUGGAGACUUAUGAAGGCUGGAAACUAGAAAAGCAAGAUUCAUUUCUCCCCUGUUCAAGACCACCGAACAGCAUGCCUUCGUCUCCGCAUUGCUUAACUGGAGCAACUGAGGUCUCUUGUGGCUCAGAGCAUAAUUUGGCAAUAAUUGGUGGAGUGUGUUACUCUUGGGGCUGGAAUGAGCAUGGCAUGUGCGGAGAUGGCACUGAAGCCAACGUCUGGGCCCCAAAGCCGGUGCAGGCUCUGCUGUCAUCGUCAGGACUCCUUGUGGGCUGUGGGGCUGGCCACUCCUUGGCCCUCUGCCAGCUGCCAGCUCACCCUGCAUUGGUCCAGGACCCCAAGGUCACCUACCUUUCCCCAGAUGCCAUCGAGGACACUGAAUCUCAGAAAGCCAUGGACAAAGAGAGAAACUGGAAGGAAAGACAAUCAGAAACUUCAACCCAAAGCCAAUCUGACUGGUCCAGAAAUGGGGGACUGUGAUAGAGAAUCUUUAAUAAAGUGGCUUUUCCCACC